GUUGGGCACGAGAGUGCGGCGACUCUUUGGUGACAGUGGGGACGCACGCGCAUCGCGCGUGCUCUCGACCAAUGCGGGAGCGCGCCUCAGGCUCUUUGAUAUCAGGGGUAGCGGACCUGCAGCUCUCCAACCGCAUGCGGCUCUUUGCCCAUUUCCAUGCGGCUCUUCUAAAGCGCACAUGCUUUGCUUGAGGCUAAGUAUAGGACCCUGAGGACCUUCGCCAGAUCGUUGCCUCUCAUGGUUCGUUCCCGCACUUCCGAACUCCUGACUCCGAUCUCCCCUGUACCGACCCCUCUCUGCCCCCGGACCUGCUCUCUACGCCCGACGUCCUGACUACCGCUGCUCCACUUGACUGUCUGCCUGAUCCUCGACUUUAGACCGAAUAAACACUUUUCCCAAACUGCCUCUGCGUCUCCGGAGUCCUGCAUUUGGGUCCUGCUCCGCACCGAUGGGUCGUGACAUUGUGCCCUGAAAGCAAAUAUCUUAACCAAAUGGUAUCAGAUCUUCAACUGUCUCACCCAAUGACUUAGAAUAAAAACUGGACUCUGCACUCUGCAUCCAUCAUUGGCUCCACCAUGGUCAGCAGGCUCUGACUUCUUGUCAGGGCAAAAAGUAUGGUAAACGUACACACAUUGUUAUGGAAAAUGAUGCAAUAAAUAUAAUAAUUCAUUAUGAAGGUUACGCUGAAACACACUUACCGGUGAAAAGUUACUUCUUUGCGACCGCCUGCACGGUUCUCACAGCCAACAGCGCAACAAAAAAGCUAAACCUAAUGUAUCCCAAUGAAAUGUGAUGUUAGUAUGUUACACAAUGGACAAUUGUAAGGAUGGCAAAGGAUGGCAACUUUCACGUGAAAUAGUACCCAAAGCAAUGUUUUCUGUUCGGAUGUUGACCAUGUGAAAGGGGCCUGUGUGGGGUCCAGUUUUUAUUCUGUCAUUGGUCUCGCCAUACAGAUGGCGAAAGUUGCACUCAGACCUGCCAUGAUGUGACUAUGUUAGUGUCGCAUUAGAUGACAGUUGUGACAUCCAAGACAUGAAUUGGUAGUUUGUCUGUAUGAGAGAGAGCAAACAUUUUUUUUUUUUUUAUGACUGGCUUGUGGUCUUGGUACUCUGGAGGUGUCAAUUUUUCCCGCUAUCAUGUUGGUGUGUGACA